UACGUAGGGCGCAAGCGUUUAUCCGGAAUUAUUGGGCGUAAAGAGCUCGUAGGCGGUUUGUCGCGUCUGCCGUGAAAGUCCGGGGCUCAACUCCGGAUCUGCGGUGGGUACGGGCAGACUAGAGUGAUGUAGGGGAGACUGGAAUUCCUGGUGUAGCGGUGGAAUGCGCAGAUAUCAGGAGGAACACCGAUGGCGAAGGCGGGUCUCUGGGCAGUAACUGACGCUGAGGAGCGAAAGCGUGGGGGAGCGAACAGG
rnacentral:rRNA from 1 species